AGCUUUAUAGUCAAUAAUGAUAUAAAAUUGCAAAUUUUAAGGAAUAUUAAAUUAUAUAUUAAGGCUU
rnacentral:tRNA from 1 species